GCUCUGAUGGCGGAAUUGGUAGACGCACAGGACUUAAAAUCCUGUGAGAAGUAAUUCUCGUGCGAGUUCGAGUCUCGCUCGGAGCA
rnacentral:tRNA from 1 species